rnacentral:rRNA from 1 species
AUGCUCGACAACGGCGACCUCCUCCCGGCCUCCCGCGACAAGGCCGUGUCCGUGCUCGCCGCCUUCGCGUCCUCCGACGCCGGCUGCCUGUUCCUGGCCCAGGAGUCGGGCACCGUCGUGCCCCACCUCUGCCGCGCGCUGGAGUCCGGCGGUGCCAGCGCAGAGCAGGCGUGCGUCGCGCUGGAGCCGCUCACCGCCUCGUCGCGGGACGCGGCGGCCGCCGUCUCGGCGCGCGGCGGCGUGGCCGCGCUCCUCGUGGCCUGCGCCGCCGGCACCCCGGCGUCGCAGGCCGCCGCCGCGGGCGUGCUCCGGAACAUCGCCGCGUUCCCGGACCUGCUCCCCGCGUUCCGCGACGAGGGCGCGCUCCCGCUGAUCGUGCAGCUCGUCUCACUCGGCACGCCGCGGACGCAGGAGCUCGCGCUUGGCUGCCUCCAGAACCUGACGGCCAGCGACGGCGACGAGGGGCAGAGGCUCAAGGUCGAGGCUUUCCAAGAAGGCGCGCUCGGCUGCGUCAAGGACUUCCUGGAGUCCUGCCGCGGCGACGCGCCGGGCCUCGCGCCGGCAUUCGGGCUCCUCCGCAACAUGGCCACCUUCCGCUACAUCGCGGAGAUAGCCGUGUCCGCCGGCUUCGUCAGCCACGUCCUGGCCGCGCUGGGCAGCGACAGGGCCAGCACCCGCACAGAGGCCGCCAUGGCGCUAGCAGAACUCUGCAGCGUGAGCAGCAGCAGCAAGGCGAGGAAGGAGGCCGGGGGCGCGAUGCCGAGGCUGAUCUGGAUGCUGGAGGCCAAGGCCGUGGCCGAGAGGGACGCCGCGGCGAGGGCGCUGGCGACGCUGGUGGUGGCGGCGAGCAGCCACCGGAAGGCGUUCAAGAAGGACGAGAUGGGCAUCGUGAACGCGGUCCAGCUGCUGGACCCGGCCGUCCGGGGCGCCGACAAGCGGUUCCCCGUUUCCCUUUUGCUGGCCGUGGCGCAGUCCCGGCGGUGCCGGAAGCAGAUGGUGGCCGCCGGCGCGUGCGGGUUCCUGCAGGGGCUCCUGGCCGCGGAGGUGGACGGCGCCAAGAAGCUCUCCGAGUGCCUCGGCCGGGGCAAGAUGCUCGGCGUGUUCCCCCGGACAUGA